UUCAAAUUUAACAUAAUAAUGUUACUUGCAGAAAAUAUACAGAAAAUCUCUUUUUUUUUGAGAAGAAGAUUUUCAUUUCUUCUGUUAGGAAAGUCCCCGAGAUAAACAGUUAGUUAUUCUAAAUGUUUUUAGAAAAGCUGAUAACUUAAUAAGUUAUUAAUCUUAUAGUUACCUUUGUAGAAAAUAUAUAAAUUUUCUCAAAGGAUAUAAAUAUUAAAAUAGCGAGUUAAAUGUAACAUAUGUUCUAUAAUAUAUUUUAUUGGACAUCACCAAAUGGGGCUUAUACGUAUGUUAAAUUUACCAU
rnacentral:sRNA from 1 species